GAUCCUUGAGAUCUUAGUGGCGCAGCUAACGCACUAAGUAGACCGCCUGGGGAGUACGGUCGCAAGAUUAAAACUCAAAUGAAUUGACGGGGGCCCGCACAAGCGGUGGAGCAUGUGGUUUAAUUCGAAGCAACGCGAAGAACCUUACCUACUCUUGACAUCCUGAGAACUCGCUAGAGAUAGCUUGGUGCCUUCGGGAACUCAGAGACAGGUGCUGCAUGGCUGUCGUCAGCUCGUGUUGUGAAAUGUUGGGUUAAGUCCCGUAACGAGCGCAACCCUUGCCCUUAGUUGCCAUCAUUUAGUUGGGGACUCUAAGGGGACUGCCGGUGACAAACCGGAGGAAGGCGGGGACGACGUCAAGUCAUCAUGGCCCUUACGAGUAGGGCUACACACGUGCUACAAUGGCCAGUACAAACGGUUGCAAUCCCGCGAGGGGGAGCUAAUCUGAGAAAGCUGGUCGUAGUCCGGAUCGGAGUCUGCAACUCGACUCCGUGAAGUCGGAAUCGCUAGUAAUCGUGAAUCAGAAUGUCACGGUGAAUACGUUCCCGGGCCUUGUACACACCGCCCGUCACACCAUGGGAGUGGGUUGCUCCAGAAGUAGAUAGCUUAACCUUCGGGAGGGCGUUUACCACGGAGUGAUUCAUGACUGGGGUGAAGUCGUAACAAGGUAGCCG
rnacentral:rRNA from 1 species